GAUGAACGUUGGCGGUGUGCCUAAUACAUGCAAGUCGAACGGAGUUAGUAGCAAUACUGGCUCAGUGGCGAAACGGGGUGAGUAACGCGUUGGUGAUCUGCCUUGAAGUGUGGAAUAACGUUUCGAAAGAGACGCUAAUACCGCAUGUGCUCUCGAUUUUCAGAAAGUUGAGAGUAAAGGAUUUAUUCGCUUCAAGAGGAGCCUGCGUCCCAUCAGCUGGUUGGUAGGGUAACGGCCUACCAAGGCUAUGACGGGUAGGGGACCUGAGAGGGUGGCCCCCCACAAUGGAACUGAAACACGGUCCAUACACCUACGGGUGGCAGCAGUAGGGAAUAUUAGAAAUGGACGAAAGUCUGAUCUAGCAACACCGCGUGUGCGAAGAAGGCCUUCGGGUCGUAAAGCACUUUUUGGAAGGAAUAGGAAGGAAUGUACUUCCAGAAUAAGUCUCGGCUAACUACGUG
rnacentral:rRNA from 1 species